UACGUAGGGGGCGAGCGUUGUCCGAAGUUACUGGGCGUAAAGGGCGCGUAGGCGGCCACCGCAAGUCGAUUGUGAAAUCUCCGGGCUUAACCCGGAAAGGUCAACCGAUACUGCGGGGCUAGAGUGCAGAAGGGGCAACUGGAAUUCUCGGUGUAGCGGUGAAAUGCGUAGAUAUCGAGAGGAACACCUGCGGCGAAGGCGGGUUGCUGGGCUGACACUGACGCUGAUGUGCGAAAGCUAGGGGAGCGAACGGG
rnacentral:rRNA from 1 species